AGAGUUGCCACUGCUUGCUUAUAAGGGAAUCAUGUGUGUUGCCUUUUUGCCUUUUCCGACGUCCUCCUCCGACUGUACUCCCGAUCCCAGGACUGAACUUACGGGAAGGAGUGCUUCCAAGAUGGGAGACGAAGAAGAAGAAGCCGCUGAAUCCGGCGGCAAUGGCUGGGAUGCUGCGUUCUCGAGAGGAAGCGUUAUUUCUGCAUUCCAAGAAGGACGGCACAAUGUGUCGGACUGUCCGCGUCGCAUUGAACUGGUCCGAUGAGGCUGCUAUUGCACACACAGUGUGGGCACUCCCAUACGGGAACUCGGAAGUACUGCUACAGUACAGGUAUAUCACCCCGUGACGACCACAUCGAAGUCUGAAAUUGAAGUGUGAAGAUGCUUCAGCAACCCCUUCAUAUUUUUCCAUUGCUUUUAUUGUGCUUCUACUGUGCAUCUGUGUAACUUGUGGGGUAUGCAUGUGAUGACAAUGUAUGCCGGUGACACAGUCAGAUUUUGUCAAUGCGUGUAACGUACACCUGCAUGCUAUCGUUGAAAAGGAUCUGCCACUUACGAUCUUCGGACGAGUAUCAGGUCAGCUUGGUUUUGUGUGUGCUGUACCAGAUGCUGUUCACUUCUCUAUCUGUUGGAUAUGUGACUUUCUGCAAGUUUCUGGUGUAUGGUGGCCACUUCUUUGCUUGUCUUUAAAUGACAUUACCAUAAUUCUGUAUUCACUGCUUCCAUGGUGUGGUCUGCAAACUGCAAUCCUUAGGCAAAUAUCAUCACGGUUUGCAAUGUUGUGCUUUGGCCGCCAGCUUACCUACACAUUGUAGUUGAAUUAUUUUUGUUUCACAACUGACUUCCUGAAGUAUGGUGGCCACUGCUUUCCAUGGCAUUAUACAAUGUUCAUCAAGAA